rnacentral:misc_RNA from 1 species
GAUGAAGAACGUAGCGAAAUGCGAUAAUUUAUGUGAAUUGCAGAAUUCCGUGAAUCAUCGAGUCUUUGAACGCACAUUGCGCCUCAUGGCAUUCCGUGAGGCAUGCCCAUCUCAUCGUUAGAAAAUAUUCUCAAAUUUUAGUUUUGUGCUAAAAUUUGGAUCAUGUCAAGGAAGCUAUUACUAUUAUUGUGAUCGCUCUUUGGAAAUUGAUAGGUCUUUGAGUUGCUACUCAUAGAACGUGAUGAAUCUUUCUUCGUUCUAUUGUAAUUCACUCUGGUAGUCCUAAAACUUGUAUGCCUGUGGCAUAUCUUGUAAUUUGACCUGAGAUUGGGUAGGGAUACCCGCUGAACUUAAGCAUAUCAAUAAGCGGAGGA